CAGGCAGAACUGAGAUGCUGAGUGUGACAGAGACAUCUUCCAAAGAGGAAUUUCGGAAGUCUGUUCUGCAGCCGUGACGCUGACAAUGUCCAGUUGGUGAAGAUGGCUAAUUACGGACCACACAGACAGACAGUGAAGACUGCACACUCCACCAAGAGACCAAGAUACAGGCUACAGUUUUUCACAAGGAUAAGAAGAAAGUGUUAUAAAAAUCAGUUAUGGAUUCACCAUGUGACAUGAUGGCCUCCAUCACUCCCCUCCAUUAAUCCCUAUCCUGCAUCCCUGUGCUGCUGUUGUGGAAUCUCAUCCACUACUGCCAUGCCGUGGGUCCACCUUAGUGCCUCAACUCAGGGUGCUGGUUGGAGGGAGCUGGAUGCUGCAGAAGCAAACAUAUGCUGGAGACCUGCCUGUGUAACACAGGACAGGCUGAGAGGGCAAACUGGCUCCCUUUGGACUGCGCAUACUUCUGAGGGGAAUGGAAAAGGUUGGUUGCAAAAGUUUGCUGCAAUUUGGUACAGAGGACUGAUUGGGAUGAGUCACUGAUAAAACUUCAACGUUGUGAGUUGGAACAAAAAUCUCAGUGGAACAGUACAAGAAUCAUUUAAAUGUUUUAAAUUAUAAUUUGUCAUGAAGAAAAAGACAACACUUCAUCCAAAGGCAAUUUUACAGGAGUGAUUGCUCUGACAUGAGCAGCAGACAUAUAAGGGAGGUGCCAUCCCAGGAAAAUGUGUGGAGCCAUUGGCAGGACACGCAAAGGAAGAUAAAAACUAAAAAUCCAAGUGAACUCUGGCAUAACGGUAGACAAUAUUGCAGCUGAUGAUAUUGAAGUUCCCACACUAAUACUUCAGUAGGAAAAGGUGCCAAUAAAGACCUUAUUGAAAAGCACACAAAA